GGCCACUCAUUCCAGGAUAGUGUAUUUAAUUUGUUAUCAAUUGCAGCAAAAAGAGCUGCAUCUUCAAGCCAACCUAGAAUUCUAGGAUCUCUGCGAAAAUCAUCAAGCUGCCUUUUAAGCUCCCCGUGACUUAGAAUGAGCCUCCCUGCUGCCUUUUCUACUAAAGGAUCCUUCAGGUCUGCAACAGUUUCAAACUGCACAUGCUCUGUAUCGAGAU
rnacentral:misc_RNA from 1 species